rnacentral:rRNA from 1 species
UACGAAGGGGGCGAGCGCUGUUCGGAAUUACUGGGCGUAAAGGGCUCGUAGGCGGCCAACUAAGUCAGACGUGAAAUCCCUCGGCUCAACCGGGGAACUGCGUCUGAUACUGGGUGGCUUGAAUCCGGGAGAGGGAUGCGGAAUUCCAGGUGUAGCGGUGAAAUGCGUAGAUAUCUGGAGGAACACCGGUGGCGAAGGCGGCAUCCUGGACCGGCAUUGACGCUGAGGCGCGAAAGCCAGGGGAGCAAACGGG